rnacentral:lncRNA from 1 species
UUUUUUUUUUUUGCCUUCCUACUUAUACCUUAACUAACAAACUCUUUCCUUUCAGAAACUUCUUUUCUCUUUUUCUAUAUAUCUGGUGACACUGCAACUUCCCUUUUGCUUUUGGUGUCUCAUUCAACUUUUGAAUUCUUUUUAGGUACCAAAGAAAACAAAAAGUUUCAAGACGCAAAUAUUUGAAGGUGCAUGAUUUUGUGAGAUUAAAAUUUCAGUUUUGUAGAAACCAUCAUUAUUAUUUCAGGUAACUCAUGUUCCCUUUAUGUCUUGUUCAUUUGUUGUUUUUACUCUUAAUUUCCAUCAUUAUAUACUACAGUAUGUUUUUUCUAAUUUUUUGCUCUUCAUUAUUAUGUAAUAACUACAUAAUUGUCCAUCAAAGUAUUUGUGUACCUGAGAUGAUUCUUAACAACUAAGAUGCAUGUUACUUAUGAUUUUUUUAAAUUAUUUUUUGUUUUCUGGGUAUUUCUGUUUCUGUUAUGGUGUACUUAUAAUUGAAUUAUGAGCUGUUUGUUGUCUCUGUUCAUUCCCCUGUUUCUUGUUUUCCUAUUGUAGUAUGCAAAUUUUCUAGGAAAAGAAAGUUUCUAUGUCAUUGUUCAUUUAAGAAUAAGUUUCUAAAAGGUUGUUAUUAUUACAGCUAUUGAAUCCAAGAUUUCAAUAUUCUUGGUUAUAUUACUAUCCAUUUUGGGGUGUAAAUCAGUAUCUUUUCUCAUAGCCUAGACAGUCUGUAAAAAUAAGGUGAAACUAUACAUUUUGAGUCACUUUAAAGGGAGAUAAUUUUAUUUUUAUAUGUGUAAUUCACAACUAAAUGAGAAAUUGACAUAUUAACAUCAGUUUAUUUCCUUCCCACCCCCACCCAACAACAAUCAAUAUAUGUAUGUGUAUGUAUUUGGUUCUAUCUUGUAAUUUGAACUUCCUGUAUCUGCAAGUUUUCUUUUUCUUGAACUGCAAUUUUUAUCUUCCUAUUGUAUAAAAGUACAUGACAAACAUUUGGUUAGGUAUACACCACUUAUUGAUAAAAGACAGCUUUUUUUUGAAUUGGAUAUAUUACUAUUGUUUUAAUUAUUUUUUUAUAUACCAUUUACCUUAAUUUUUGGUUUCUGAUUUUCCACUGUCCUCCUUUCAGCUACUUCUAGGAUGGACACCCAUAAUGGCAAUAAUGGAGCUCCUGAUUGGAUUUGUCUCCCCCUCAUGAAAUGACCGUUUUGCCCUUUCCAAUUUCAACAAUGGCAAGAAUCCAAAAACUCCACUCCCUCCAAAUUCUCGCCACUUUCUUGUUUUUGGUUUUGUUUUUUCAUCCAUCCAAGUCCUUAACUGCUGAAACUCAGGCCCUUUUACAUUUCAAAGAACAACUCAAUGACCCUUUGAAUUACUUGGAUUCUUGGAAAGACUCAGAAACUCCUUGUAAAUUCAAUGGAAUUACUUGUGAUCAAAAGACUGGUCGUGUUACUGAAAUUUCCCUUGAUAAUAAGUCCAUUUCUGGGGUGAUUUCCCCUUCAAUUUUUUCACUCAAAAGCCUCACUUCUUUGGUACUACCUUCAAAUUCUUUGUCAGGGAACCUUCCAAGUGAAAUAACCAACUGCACCAAUCUCAAAAUCUUGAAUGUCACUGGAAAUAACAUGAAUGGAACCAUACCUGAUUUAUCUAAGUUGACUAACUUAGAAGUUUUGGACUUGUCUAUAAACUACUUUUCAGGAAAGUUUCCAUCUUGGGUUGGAAAUUUGACUAGUUUGGUUGCACUAGGCCUAGGGGAUAAUGACUUUGUUGAAGGUAAAAUUCCUGAGACUCUAGGGAAUUUAAAGAAAGUGUAUUGGCUUUACUUGGCUGGCUCAAAUUUGAUAGGAGAAAUCCCAGAAUCUAUUUUUGAAAUGGAGGCACUAGGAACUUUGGAUAUUUCAAGAAAUCAGAUUUCUGGGAAUUUCCCUAAGUCCAUAAACAAGCUGAAAAAGUUAUGGAAAAUUGAGCUGUUUCAAAAUAAGCUGACAGGUGAACUUCCUGUACAACUUGCAGAACUGUCUCUUUUGCAGGAAUUUGAUGUUUCUAGCAACCAGAUGUACGGGACGCUGCCUCGGGGAAUCGGGAACCUGAAAAAGUUAAAAGUGAUUCAAAUAUUCAAGAAUAACUUCUCUGGUGAAAUUCCUCCUGGUUUGGGAGAUAUGCAGCAUCUUGAUGCCUUUUCUGUUUACAGGAACAGUUUUUCUGGGGCAUUUCCAGCAAAUCUCGGUCGGUUUUCGCCCCUGAAUAGCAUAGACAUAUCUGAAAACAAAUUUACUGGUGAAUUCCCAAAAUACUUGUGCCAAAAUGGGAACUUGCAGUUUUUGCUAGCUAUCGAAAACAGUUUCUCGGGGGAGUUUCCAAGCACGUAUUCCUCUUGUAAGCCUUUACAGAGAUUGAGGGUCAGUAAUAAUCAACUUUCUGGGAAAAUAUCUGAUGGUGUAUGGGGACUUCCUAAUGUGUUGAUGCUGGAUUUCAGUAAUAAUAAGUUCAGUGGAGCUAUAUCUCCUGAUAUCGGGACUGCUACUAGCUUGAAUCAGUUGGUGUUAUCAAAUAACAGAUUUUCAGGUGAGAUUCCAAAAGAAGUUGGAAAACUCACACAAUUGGAAAGGCUGUACUUGGAUAACAAUGAAUUCUCGGGUGCAAUACCUUCUGAGCUUGGUAAACUGAAGCAACUAUCAUCUUUUCAUUUGGAGAAGAACUCAUUCUCAGGGACAAUCCCAUCAGAAUUGGGUGAAUUUCCUAGGCUUGCAGACCUGAAUCUUGCUUCAAAUCUUCUUACUGGUAGCAUUCCCAAUUCUUUAUCGACCAUGACAUCUUUGAACUCUUUGAAUCUUUCACACAACAGACUCACUGGUAAAAUACCGACUAGCUUGGACAAUCUGAAGCUGUCGUCGUUAGAUCUCUCUAACAACCAGCUAUCAGGAGAAGUUUUAUUGGAUCUUUUAACAAUGGGAGGAGAUAAGGCAUUUGCUGAUAACAAGGGACUUUGUGUUGACGAAAGCAUCAAAUUCUCAAUGAACUCAGGCUUGGCCGGGUGUGGUGGAAAGGCAGCUCAACACAAGUUAAACAAACUAGUUGUAUUUUGCAUUGUGUUGCUUUCGUUAGCUGUUCUAAUGGGCGGUUUAUUGCUCGUCAGUUACCUAAAUUACAAGCAUAGUCAUGAUGCGGAUCCUGAAGAACAACUGGAGGAAGCCAAGGGAACAAAUCCAAAAUGGAAGCUAGAGAACUUCCACCAUGUGGAAUUUGAUGCAGAUGAUGUUUGUGGUCUCGACGAGGACAAUUUGAUUGGAAGUGGAGGUACAGGGAAAGUUUAUCGGUUAGACUUGAAGAAAGGUUGUGGAACUGUAGCUGUGAAGCAGCUGUGGAAAGGGAAUGGUGUGAAAGUUUUGACAAGGGAAAUGGAAAUUUUGGGGAAAAUCAGGCACAGAAAUAUUGUAAAGUUGUAUGCCAGUCUAAUGAAAGAAGGUUCAAAUUUCUUGGUUUUUGAGUACAUGCCAAAUGGUAAUCUUUUCAAAGCACUACACCGAGAGAUCAAGGCUGGCAACCCGGAAUUAGAUUGGUAUCAGAGAUAUAAAAUAGCACUCGGAGCUGCAAAAGGAAUUGCUUAUCUGCACCAUGAUUGUUGCCCUCCUAUUAUUCAUAGAGAUAUUAAAUCAACCAACAUUCUACUUGAUGAGGAGUAUGAAGCAAAAGUUUCUGAUUUCGGGGUUGCAAAAGUCUCAGAAAUUUCUUCUAGGGGAUCCGAGCUCAGUUGUUUUGCAGGCACUCAUGGUUAUAUGGCUCCUGGUAAGAUUCAAGAAAACCAGAAGUUCAAUGACCAUUUUUUGCUUUUCUUGUUACUUUUCAUUUGUGAAAUAACCUUCUAAGAUUUAACCUUUUUAUUUGUUUGCUUGACAGAAAUGGCAUAUACUCUGAGAGUAACAGAAAAGAGUGACAUUUACAGCUUUGGCGUUGUGCUGUUGGAGCUAGUAACCGGAAGAAAACCAAUAGAAGAUGCAUUUGGAGAAGGAAAAGACUUGGUCUACUGGACCUCAACUCAUUUAAAUGACAAGGAAAGCAUUGUGAAAGUUCUUGAUCAGAAGGUGGUUUCUGAACUUGUUCAGGAAGAUAUGAUCAAAGUGUUGAGAAUCGCCACACUUUGUACAAUGAAGCUUCCUAAUUUGCGCCCUAACAUGAAAGAAGUCGUCAAGUUGCUUGUUGAUGCUGAACCUUGGACAUUUAGAUCUUCAAGCAAAUCUGAGAAAAAGGGGCACAAUUUUUCUGAGGUCUAAUUUGCCUCUGUGGUUUUUUCCCAUGUUGAUAGUUGUUAUGUAAUACUAUAAUUCUCAAGUUAGUUUUAGGUAUAUGACAUAUAUAUAUAUAUAUAUAUAUAUAUACACACACACAAUUAUCCCAUGUGAAAUGAUUUUACAUUUCUUUGUGUAAAAGUUGAAGUGUGUAAAAUGAAAUGUUUCUUUUUUGUUGUGGCUGGAAAGUUGAGAGGUUCAAUUGAUCUGUACUGUGGAAGUUAAAAUGUACAUGGUUAAGAACUUUAACUUUGAAAAGUGAAGUUUUUAUAAUUCUUAACAUUGGUAUUAAUUAUUAUCUACUAAAGGAUGAGGAUAACUAUCCUCUUCUGCCUUAAUAGAGAGGGAGGGAGAGGAAAACAAAAAACAAAGCAUGAAUAUUGAGAGAUACAAGAAGUUACAAGUUACAACAAUGCAAUGUUACAGCAACAUCUUGCAGGUCAAAUAGCUUCAAUUAAGUCUAUCUGCACCAUCAAUCUGAGCAAAUAACUCCUGUUUGGAAAUGCUUCCAUCCACCUGAAAUUAAAAGGAUUAGUUACCUUCUAUAACAAAGGUUGAUACCUUAUUUAUUUUAAAUAAAUAUUAUUUUAAAAAUUGUAUUCUAUAAUUAUCUUUUGAUUUUUAUAGCCAAAUACCUAUUUAUGGUCACCUUCUAUCCUUAAGCCAUAAAAUACGCUGCCUUUCUGGCUUGACCCUAAUGAAGGCAACGAAAUCUCCAUGGCCAACUCCAGUAUAUCCUUCCCGAUUUUGAUUGUUUUCGGAAGUAGAUUGUUCUUCUUUAUAAUCAAAAGGAAUUUUUAGGACUUUAACUUCUUGGCAAUUUCUUCUUCAGCAGGUGCUAACAAUUUCUUCCGAUUUGUUACCGGCGGGUGCUAACAAUUCAGUUCUAGGACUUUAACUUCUUCAUAUGCGUUACAGAUGCUAACAAUUUCUUCUUCAACGAUCUUUUUUGUUUUCUUCUUCUUUCUCUCAUUGUUUCUUAUGAAAUCAUAGUAGGAAUCCGAUGGGUCCUCGGAAAAUCGUCGACUAAAUAGGUCGUCUGAAGUUUUGGUUGAGCAAUUUGAAGAUUAUAUUACCUUUUUUAAGAGCAUUUCAAUGUAUCUCGCUGUAUUUCUAUGUAUUUCUUUGUAUUCCCUAUCUUCUUUUCAUUGUAAUUCAAUGUAUCUCGUUAUAUUUCAUGUAUUUCAUUGUAUUUCAUAUCUUUUUUUCUCAUUGUAUUUCAAUGUAUCCCCUUGUAUUCUAUGUAUUUCAUUAUAUUCAUUGUCUCGCUAUAUGCCAUGAAUGUAUCAUAUAUAUGUAUAUAUAUAUAUAUAUUUUAAAAACCGAUCAAUUGGUUUUAAUCAGAAAAAAAUCGAACCAAACCGACUAUAGGAGUAGCUAUUUCAAAUUUAUUAUGACACAUAUACAUAUGUAUAUUUUUAUACAUAGUUUCAAAAUUUUUAUGGUAAAAGUUUCUACCAUUACCAUUACGUUUGAGUGGCCCAAUAUUUCACUUCCUGUAUCUCUCUUAAAUUUUUUUAUAUUUAAUUUUUAUUGAAGAAUUAAUUCAAAUAACUGUUAAUUCAACCGCUUAUACUAAAAAUAAUCACUUGAGGUUUAAUAUAUAUAUAUAUAUAUAUAUAUAUAUAAUUUAUGUAUUCAGAUGUAUUAUAUAAUUUCUCUGAAGAUUGCUAUAUUUUUGGAGUAUUUUUCGGUUGAUAAUCUUAAAAUAUAAAACUUAUGUGUUAUAAUUGAGUUUGUUGAGUUAUAUUAGGAGUCUAUCAUGUUAAUUGAUUUACUUUUCAUUUUAAAAACAAUGUAGUCCCCUAUUUUACGUAGUGAAUACAGUCGAAUACAAUAAUUUAUCCAGUUGUAAUCCCAUGUUUCACUCGAUAAAUAUAGUCGAAUACACUCGAAUACAACAACUGAUUAGUUGGACUUCCCUGAUUCACGACUAUUUUUGCUUCUUUAUUCAUGAAUACAAUAGCUUAAAUAAAUAAAAUACAUCUUAUAAACACUGAAAAGGUAUCUAUAAUCCGUAGUAUAGUAAAUGAUAUCUAUAAAUGGCUAAUUACUACUAAAAAAUAGUUAUUUAUAAAAAUUUCUCAAAUUAAAACAUCUCAGAAUCAGAGGUGGAUCCAAGGUUUAAAUAUGAUGGGUGCAAUCUUUAUGUUCUUACCUAAUUAAUCCAUUGCGAUUUCAUGAUUAUGAUUUCAAACACCCUAUAAAUCCUAUUAACCUAACUAAUAACAAUGAUAAAGCUCCCUUCAUGCAUGCAUUCCCCAACCCAUGUGACCAAUCAUCCAUAAAACACUUGGAACACAAUUGUGGACAAGUGGCGAAGGAUAUAUCUAUGCAAGAUAUGGACAUAUACCACACGCAACAACCUGCCCAAACCAAGCAAAUAGAAGUAAUCAUUAGGGACUCCCCCAAUCACCUCACAACUGCCCCUCUUAUAAACUCUAUAGUUCACAAAUAUGGCCAGAACUCCACUAACACUAAGGAGGAAAUAUCGUCUACUUCAACUAAUUCAUCUCUCUUGCAAUUCCAACAUGAUUAUCCUUCCAAAUCUCCUACCCUAACUCCACCCAAAUCCGAUGAUAUAUGCACAACCACCAAGCCCACCAAAUCACAUCCCACAAUCAUGCGUAGAACUGAGUCUACAAGGCCAUGCAGUAACCUUCAAUAUGGAGAUCAAUGGGCAAGAAUCCAUACUGAUCAUUCAGAACACUUACUUCUUAGCCCAACUGAUCUUAGAAGGGAUGAGUCUAGCCAUGAACAAUUAUGUCAACCAAAUGUGGAUGAACAAUAUCCUUCAACCAUUAGCCUCAUCAAUGAAUCCAAACCUAGUCAACAACAUGCAACAAAUGUGGAACAUUCUACACCACUCAAACCAACAAAUACUCCAAAAUUCAACACUAAACCUUCCAUUUUCUGCUCCGAAAGAUCUCAUGCUUCAAAACCCAGUGUUCAAAAAGUGGACUGCCCAGGCAGUAUCCAACCAACAACAUGACCCACAUCAAGAUUCAAUAGACGAGCAAGCACUACCACUAAGCAUGCCAAACCAAGAAGGGAUACAGGAGGAAGGAGAGGAGCUGAAAAACUUGCCACCCUUGGGGGAGCCAGCAGUGAUUUUUUCAAGCCUAAGCAAGGUAAAAAUACUAAUAUUCAGGGAGAUGCUCGACACAAAAUCUAUCUUCAGUUGCCCAGUGACAUACAAAUGCUCACUGGAUAUUUGACCACCAUAGGACCUAACUGUGGGGAAGAAUGUAGUGAUCUUAGUCCCCUCCCCAAGGGUGAUUCCAAACAAUAACCCCCCCCCCCCCCNNNNNNNNNNNNNNNNNNNNNNNNNNNNNNNNNNNNNNNNNNNNNNNNNNNNNNNNNNNNNNNNNNNNNNNNNNNNNNNNNNNNNNNNNNNNNNNNNNNNNNNNNNNNNNNNNNNNNNNNNNNNNNNNNNNNNNNNNNNNNNNNNNNNNNNNNNNNNNNNNNNNNNNNNNNNNNNNNNNNNNNNNNNNNNNNNNNNNNNNNNNNNNNNNNNNNNNNNNNNNNNNNNNNNNNNNNNNNNNNNNNNNNNNNNNNNNNNNNNNNNNNNNNNNNNNNNNNNNNNNNNNNNNNNNNNNNNNNNNNNNNNNNNNNNNNNNNNNNNNNNNNNNNNNNNNNNNNNNNNNNNNNNNNNNNNNNNNNNNNNNNNNNNNNNNNNNNNNNNNNNNNNNNNNNNNNNNNNNNNNNNNNNNNNNNNNNNNNNNNNNNNNNNNNNNNNNNNNNNNNNNNNNNNNNNNNNNNNNNNNNNNNNNNNNNNNNNNNNCCCCCCCCCAACAAUAACCCCAUGCAUCAGCCUAACAGUACUGUGGUUUGGAACGUUAGAGGUGCUAACAAUGCAAACUUUACUAGGAAUUUUAAAGAAAUAAUGGAUACCCACAUGCCUUGUUUGGCUGAACUAUUGGAAACAAAAAUGGAAAGUCACAUAUCUAUCCUAGAGGAUUUUAGCUUUACAGAGGUGAUCGAGGUUCCUUCAGUAGGGCGAAGUGGAGCCUUUGUAAUCUUGUGGAACAAUGAGGUGGUAACAGUCAAUAAUUUCACUAGAAAUAGGCAAGCCAUACAUGCAAUGAUCGAGGUAAAACCUAAAAACUUAUCCUGGUUAUUUACUGCAAUUUAUGCUAGUAAUAACAUUCGUUAUAGGUGCAAGUUAUGGGAUAAUUUACGAAGUGUCUAUGAUGAGUAUAAAGGACCAUGGUUAGUGGGGAGGGAUUUCAACGAAGUUACUAACACUACCGAUAAGUUUGGGGUAGAAAUAUAAACCAAAAAAGAGCUAAAUACUUAAUAAACUGUCGAGACUAUUGUAACUUAGUGGAUUUAAGCUUCAAGGGGUGUAAGUAUACCUGGUCAAACCACCGAAGGAAAAAAAGGUUUGAUCAUGGAGAGGCUAAGUAGGAUUUUCUCUAAUGAUAAAUUGUCACAAGCCUAUGUGAAUGUAAACAUAACUCACCUACCAAAAAUUCAUUCUGAUAAUAACACUACUCUUAUUAACCUUAAUAAUAGAAUUAAUACGGAUAAGGACAUAUCUUUUCGUAUAGAAACUUAUUGGUGUACACAUCCGGAUUUUAGCCGGCUUAUCUUAACUAGCUGGGAAAAUAAAGGUUUAAUAGGGGGUGGGUCUAAAAUUUUCCAGAAAAAUGUGUUAGAAUGGAAAAACAUAACCUUUGAAAAUAUUUUUGUUAGGAAAAUAAAACUUUUAAAAAGGAUUUAUGGGAUUCAAAAUUCUAUCAACUACCAAACAAGUAUAUUCCUUCAAGACCUUGAAACCAGACUUACUGAGGAGUAUAACACAAUUCUCAAAUUGGAAGAAGAUUAUUGGAAAAUUAGGUCUAGAGUUAAUUGGUUGAACGAAGGGGAUUCUAGUACUAAGUUUUUUCAUAUAAAAGCUACUAAUAGGAGGAGAAGAAACAAUAUUGUUUUCUUCAAAGAUGAGCUAGGAAAUUGGAUUGAAGGCCAAUCCUCCAUAAUGGAUCAUGUUACUGAAUACUUCACUCAAUUAUUCACAACAUCUCACAAUUGGACCAACUAUAAUAUUAUUAAAAAUGAUGUUACAAACUUUACCCCAUGUGACCUCUCAAUCCUAGAUAUGCCCCUAAUAAAUCAAGAAAUUAGAAGAGCCGUGUUUUCUUUUAAGCUAUACAAGGCACCAGAGCAGGAUGGACUAUAUCCAUUUUUUUCCAAAGAUUCUGGCAUAUAUUAGGUAACAAGGUUAUUAAUCUAUACCACACCAUUCUUAACACCUCAAAAAUACCCAAGAGGUAAACCAAACCUAUAUAUGCCUAUUCCAAAAGUCAAUAAUGCUAACACAGCUAAAAUAUCUUAGACCAACAAGCCUUUGCAACAUAAUUUAUAAAAUUAUCACCAAAGUGAUUGCUAACAAGAUCAAGCCUUUUCUUAACCAAUUGAUCAAUAUAGAACAAGCCAGCUUUAUAAAGGGAAUGAGUGUUAGUGACAAUGCAAUCAUUAUUCAAGAUGUUCUUAAGAAUUUUAACCACUAUAAAAGAAAAAGAAAAAAUUGUCCUAAAGCUUGAUUUAUAAAAAGCGUUCGACAAACUAGAAUGGACAUAUAUCUAUCGAACACUUAGUUUUUUCAACUUCCCAGGAAGAUUAGUAACCUCAUCCUCAGUUAUGUUACCACGAGUACAAUUUCAACCCUAGUUAAUGGUAGGAAAACUAAGGAAUUCACUCCCACAAGGGGGAUUAGACAAGGAGACCUCAUGUCCCUCUACAUAUUCAUACUUUGUAUGGAUAUUCUUUCUAAAACCAUUAGCCACGAAGUAAAUAUUAGAAAUUGGGUACCCUUUAAAAUGAAUACCACCCCUCUCUUAUUUAUGUUUUGCAGAUGACUUGACUCUAAUAGGUGAGGUUAAUCAAAAAUCCCUUAGGACUAUUAACAAAUGCAUAGAGGAUUUUAGCAAAUUAUGAGUUCUAAUCAUCAAUAAGGCCAAAUCAAAAAUAGUCAUGUCUAGAAAAAACAAACAAGGGAAAUGGCUACUCACAUGCUUGGGAUUACUGUUAGUAAUAGUUUUGGUAAUUACCUAGAUUUUUCAAUAGUAAAUAAAUUCCCGAGGCACAAGGACUAUCAGCCUUUAGUUGACAAGAUACAUACUAGAUUAAAUAAUUGGAAUGGUAAGUGGUUUAGUAUGGCUGGUAGGUGCACUGUAAUAACAUCAACCUUAAAUACACUGCCAAAUCACCUAAUGCAAAUAAGUUUAUUUCCCACUAAAACACUCCAAGAGAUAGACAAGAUCCAGAGAGAUUUCAUAUGGGGUACUAUAAGGGAUAAGAGGAAACUACACCUAAUCAGUUGGAACACAAUCACAAAGAACAAGUCAAAUGGAGGCUUGGGUAUCAAGAAAGCAAAAUCCAAAAAUCUGGCUCUCCUUAUAGGAUUGGCUUGGAGAAUUCUCACUAACACUAAUUUCUUAUGGGCCAAAAUACUAAUUAGCAUCUAUGAAAAAGAAAAAGAACAAUUGGCUCCUCAAUUACCAGGAAAAGUCUCCUAAUAUGUUGGACCAUAUGUAAUAAAGGCAUUAGAUGGCCAGUAAAUAGACACUCACGUAUGAAUAUAUGGGAUACAAAUUGGAUCCCAAAUUUCACUAGUCUUCGCGAUAGCAUUUCAGUGCCGUUAAAAAUAGAUACGGAGAAGCUAAGUAUAAGUGACAUAUGUGAUACAAAAGGGUGGAACCAAACCAAUCAAAAAUAGCAUAAAUGCAAUUGAUCGAAUUAUCCACAUAACUAUCAAAACGGGCUCAAUUGGAGUCUUAACCCUAGUGGUAUAUUCACAACAUCCUCUUCAUAUAAGUUAAUAGAUAACCACAACCUAAAGACACAAUCUAUCAAUUGAAUUUGGGAUUUACAUUUCCCCAACAAGAUUAAGCUCUUCAUCUGGAAACUCUACCAUAUGAGAUUAUCCACAAGAGACUAUCUUGCUAAGAUUGGUAUUAAUAUAGGCCCAACAUGCCCAAUAUAUAAGACAAAUAACGAAUCUAUUUAUCACGUUUUCUGGGAAUGCCUCAUAGUUAAGACUUUAUGGCAAAAUCUAGGAGUGACCAUAAAAAAUUACGAAACAAUCAAUGAAUGGUUACACGGCAUUUGGAACAAUAGAAACCAUAAUAACAUCAAUAACCAAACCUCUCAUAUAAAUGUGGAAAAUUUUUUGGCCUACACAAGUGAAUACUCUUUAUUAACAAACAAGAAGACUUUUCACAACAAGGUUAUAUGGCUAAAUGUCAAAUGGGAACGACCAAUAAAAGGAUGGCUUAAGGCCAACAUUGAUGGAGCAUUCAAUAUGGAAGGGGGCAUCAGCGGAGUAGUUCGUAAUUCAAAUGGAAGGUGGAAGACCGGGGUUUUAAUGAAAAUACAAGCAAUAUCACCAAUACAUAUGGAAUUACAAGCCCGUUUGCAUUCAUUACAACUAAUCAUCAAAGAACAUAUGUUCCCUAUAGUAGUGAAAACUGAUGCCAUAGAUAUUAUUAGCAUUAUUAGUAAAGAUUACCUUACUAAUAAUGUUUUAAUUCAUAAAUGCAGAUUAUUGGUUGUCACACCUCCUUCUACACGAUUAUUACCCCGAAGGAUAAAAACGCGUUAGGGAUUUUUUCCAAUUAAAAUGACAUGAUUCAAAAUGAGAUUAUUUAUUUAUUAGAGUUGCCACUUAGGAUAGGUUUGGCUUUUGGUGUCCUAAGUCACCGGUUUAUUUAGGAUCCCAAGUCGAGGAAAUUUGUCGACUGCCUAAAUGGAGUCUGCGUACCAGAAAUUCUAGGUAAAGAGUUCUGCUGACCCGAGGGAAGGUGUUAGGCACCCUCGGAUCCCGUGAUUCUAGCACGGUCUCUUAAACUAUUGUAAAUGGCUAAAAAUUCUGAUCUUACACAUGUUCAUCCUAAAAAUUCAUUUUUUAAUACUUAUACCGCUUUUAAUAUUUUUUAAGGAAAAUUGCGAUGUCGUUAAAACUUAUUGCGAACCAUGUCACAUAAAUGCGCACGUAGCUUUUGACAUAUUUUAACUUCAUCGGGAUUUUGAUUUGUGUCACUUAAAUGUGCACCCGUACUUAGGAAGAUAAAAUUAUUAAAAACGGUCUAAAAGCGAUUAACAUGUUAUUAUCUUUGCAGGAAGCCGUGAAGUUCACCAAACGGCAUCUCCCGAAUCUCUAAGCAUUUUUAUAUAAAUAUUUCACGAGGGGUGCGCAAUUUAUAGGUUCUGUUUGGCGCGGCACACUUCGUAUAUUAUUUUGAAGGUUUGUCCCAAGCAAAUUAGAAUUUUCUAUAAGGUUCGUCUCUAAAAAACUCAGUUAGCUAACAUUGGAGCCCGGACUAUCAAACUCAAGUCUAUAUUUAACUAAGAAGAUAAUUUCCUUUACUCCAAUGUGUCAUCUGAUUUGAAAAGUCAAAUUUAACUCGGUCAGGUUUUUAGUUAAAAGCUGGCUGGUAAUGCCAAGUUGUGUUUGGCCUUCAAGCAAGCCCAAGGCUGACAGGAACAAGAAAAUGGGGUCCAUGACACCAUUAUUCUUACAAACCUCUAUGUUAUAUCAUAUUCGAAACUCAACUUAUUUUUUUCAUUUACAUGUGAAUGAUAGAUAACCCAAAGUAAUAUGUAGAAUUAAAGCCCCAAUUUCAAGUUUAUGAGAGCAUAUUGAUUAACACAGGAAUUUAACUAAACCAUGCUAACAUUAUGUUCGGCUAGAGUAUCUGAUUUUUUCUGACUACUCUAUCACUUAAAUGAGAUUAUGCCACAACUUUUACUUCACUUACAUAAUCCAAAAUAAUAGUUUAUCAGUCCAUUUAUACAGAAUGAGUAAUCUUCUGAUCAAUACUAUCAAAUUAAAUGCAAAACAAAAAUUCAUCUGAACAGAUUUGAAUAGUAUAAUAGAGGCAAAACAGGCUUUUCGAUGUGUAUUCUUCAAUUAAACAAUCGUACAUGUGAAUUCAAUCCAACCGACACUUGGAGUUUUAAAAUGUACCUGGAGUUACAAUUAUCAAAGAAGAUGGGCGUCAACAGUGUGUUAGCAAACUCCAUUAGCAGUAUAAUGACAGAAAUCAAGCAACUCGAAUGAUAUUGUAAACCCAGAAAAUAAAAAUUAAUCAACCCAAGAAAACUUUAAAACAAUAACACCAGCAAAUCAACUCAAUACAGCUUGAAUAAGAACCAUCCAACUCGAGAUCAAACCCAGAAUAGUUUCUGAAAGGUCUAACACUUUUAACACCUAUAUUUCAAGUUGUUUUCAUCUUAUAUAGCUAAAAUUCUAAUCAUCAGGUGAGAAUUGAAAUUAAUCUGAAGGAAAAGACCUGAUGGAACAGUAAAAACCCCUGAAAUUUCAGGAUUUUCAGACCUGGAACUUCUGGAAAGUUUUUAAGAAAUUUUUCUAGGUUUUUUUUUAGAAUAAAAAGAGCUUGGGGAUUUUCUAGGGAUUUUUCAGACCUCCUAAUGAAGGCACUAACUUGCCUAUUUUAACCCAAACUUAGGGCAACCCCUUUCUUUUGUGUUUACUCAUUAGUCCUUUUCUUAUUUCCUUGAAUUGUUCACUUAGUCCCUCAUUUUCUGGCUUGUGCCUCAAGUAUUGUCAUCAUAAUACCAGAAUUUUAUUCUUUGAACCUCCACCUAGAAGGUUCCAAAGGUUUACUGCAAGAUUCCAAUAUCCAAAUACCCCUAUUUCCCUUAUCCUUUCCCCUCAAUUACUUAACAUAACCAAUUACACUCUAGUUCUUAUCAUGUUGGUCAGACUUUGACUAUAGUUAAUUACUCAAGGUAAUAAGAAUGAUUAAACCAUAACCAAACCCAAUCUGAUUAUCACCCUAAUUAACCUGAGCUGAAAUGUUAGAAUAAACUAAACACCAGAUGUAAAGGAUACUGAAGCUAGAUCAAUUAUUUUACCCAAGAUCAAAAAGCGAACAAAACUGUCACACACAAACUGAUUAAUGGAGGAAAAAUUGAAGACCUCAUCACUAACUAAAUAUUGAACAAGAGUCAUAUAGUUACAAUCAAAACAUAAUCACAAAAUACCUAACUUAAUCCCAAGACAUGCCGGAUGGAAACAAUCAAAUCCUAAUAACCUAACUUGAGCCUCAACUAUUACUCAAACAUGAUGUUCAUGAAUCAACACAGAACGAAUCAAAUUAUAACUUCAAAAAUAUAGAAGUCCAGUCACUCGAAGUGAAAAAAGGAAUCAUUCAAAGCGGAUCAUCAAUAACAUUAAACAGAGAAACAGAAAUCUGAGUAAACCUAAACCAAAAUUUCAAAUAAACCUAACAGAGGGUCAUUAACAAACAUGCAAGAACAAACAACACGAAAGAAUAAGAGAUUGAACAGGGAAACUUAGCUUAGUGACUAGGCAUAGUCCAAAACCCAUGACCCUUAAACUUCUAGGAUUUCCGGCUAACAUUCAAUUUCACAUUUGGGAAGGACUUUUGACAUUUGAGGGAGGAAGAUUAAGGAUUUAAGAGAAUGAGGGUGAGAAUAAUAUAGGGUGUGAGUUUGGUUGGGCUUGGAAAGGUUGGGCUUUGGACCGGGUUUUUUGAUUUAAUAUUUGACAAAACCCAGUCAUGUUUGAGGGUUAUUGGUUACAGAUUCAUGGAGAGGGAGGCGAUGGGGUUUUGUGGUGUAAUUUUGGGUUUGUUUGGGGUGGCGAUGUCGUAGACGGCAGAGGCGUCGUUCACAUUUUUGAAGAUUCGAGAAGCUGGGCCAAGGUUUGAGGAAUAAUUUUAGGGCGUUGGAAAGAGGAGGAAGAGGUGGUUUAGUGGUGCAUUUUUGGGUGAGUUUGGAGCUUCGCCGCCAGAGGCGACUUUUCCGGCCAACGGCGGUGAGUCGGAGGGUUGGUGGAGACGAUAGGUACGAGGAAGAAUAGGCUUGGUCUCUAGGGUUUACA